rnacentral:rRNA from 1 species
UACAGAGGGGGCAAGCGUUGUUCGGAAUUACUGGGCGUAAAGGGCGUGUAGGCGGUCAGGUAAGUGGAAUGUGAAAGCCCUCGGCUCACCCGAGGAUCGGCAUCCCAAACUGCCUGGCUUGAGUAUGGGAGAGGACAGGGGAAUUCCUGGUGUAGCGGUGAAAUGCGUAGAUAUCAGGAGGAACACCGGUGGCGAAAGCGCCUGUCUGGCCCAAUACUGACGCUGAUGCGCGAAAGCUAGGGGAGCAAACGGG